UUUAACAUAACUUUGUUUUAUUUCUUGAAGAAGAUCUAUUACUUUUAAAACUUAAUUUUUGAUUUUCAUCUCAAUCAAGACCCAAAUUGAAAUCCUAAUCAACCAAAUUUGGUUGAUGUGAAUUGUUUAUAAUUUUGGUAUUGUACAGUUUUUUGCUAUUGGUUAGUCGUAAAAUUGCUGGAAGGUUCGAGGACUACUACAUUUUGCAAUUGUCAUUCUGCCUUCAGUUUGAUAAUUGGUAACAUUUCAUUCCUUUUCAACAUGUGCAUUUGUUGUUUCCUGUUCAUUCAGGCAGACAUUACUCCUCAUGUGCAUGGCAUAUUGGUCAACUGGUUAAUUGAAGUACUUAUUUUACACUAUGUUGCUUCCAUAUAUUUUCUUUUCUUUUUGUCUUUCUUGGUUUUCUUUUGCUUGCACUUCUGUUCAGUAGAUAAGUAUUACAUUUCUCUUGCAAUGCUAAUGUAUGCCGAUCUGGGAAUAGGUACACUUCAAAUUUGAUCUGAUGCAAGAAACACUUUAUCUCAUGGUGACAUUGUUAGACCAAUAUCUUUCUGAAGUCCCAAUUAAGAAGAAUGAAAUGCAAUUAGUUGGUCUUACUGCACUCUUGUUGGCAUCAAAGUAUAAGGACUUUUAGCAUCCAAGGGUCAAAGAGUUGAUUAGCAUCUCAGAUGAGUCAUACACUAGAGACCAGGUGCUUGGAAUGGUAUGUGUCUUUACUAUUAAGGGAUUUUCAUUCCUAUGAUUAAUAAAUAGUUAAACCAUCUCUUCUCCACAUUUUGCAGGCAAUAUGUGUCCGUACUAUUAAGGGAUUUUCAUUCCUAUGAUUAAUAAAUAGUCAAUACCAUCUCUUCUCCACAUUUUAGAGUUUUCCUCCCACCAUUUCUAACACUAAAUCUUUGCAUUUCAGGAGAGGCUCAUUCUUAAAAAGUUAAAUUUUUGUCUUAACACACCUACUCCAUAUGUCUUUAUGUUGAGAUUUCUUAAGGCUGCUCAGUCAGAUACAAAGGUAUUUGGUAUAGGGUUCAUGUUGUCAAUACUGACUUUUGUAAUUAACCAUGUCUACAGUCUCUUGUUUUUGGUUAUUCUCACAAAAACAUGGUACUAGCAGUAACCAAAGUUGCAGACAUAGGAGCUCUGUGAUGUAUGUCAAUUGAAUACAUUUCUUUCACUUUCAUUCAUAUGUGAUAUUUCUUUUACCAAAAUUUUUGAGUGAUUAUGAGCUAUUUGCUCAUGCUAGGAAGAAGACAAUGAAGAUGAGUUGAUUGGCAUGUUGGGCAUGUGGUAGAGCUAACUCGCUCCUAUAAUGACAGACGGAUUUAUAUCUCAUACUCUGGACAUAUCUCAUUUCUUUAUUCACAAGUAGCAGGAUAAACAGACUUGAUUGAUACUAAGUGGGAGCAUGAGGAUCUUUUAAAAGCUCUUCAUACAACAUGAG